UAUACCGUUCUUCCUUCCUUUUAGCAUAAAACCGCCUUUAGUUUCCAUCAUGGGGGACAAGUGCUGAGUUGUUUUCUCAAAGGCCGAACGGAACAUAGUACGUCGGACAGAAGGCGCUCGCUACCAAAUAAUCACAAGUCAGCAAUGUACAGGACUGUUCCUAAAACAAUCGGACGAGCUAGAUUACGGGCCGGAACAUUGCGCCGCGCCUUCCAAAGGCUCGUCGGACCCUUUCGCGUAUUGCAUGCUUUCCCAGUACUUUCAGCCUGGUGAAUCUGCACUAAACGCAAGCAUUGCUAGAGUUCAACCGCUUGCCUCCGCCGCCGUUGAUUGUAAGUCGCAGAUAAGCCCAUCUGAACAUAGAAACGCAGUCAAGAAGCAGCAAAAACAUUGGGUCCUGCUAUCGGUGGAUGUGUGUUUAUAGCGUGUCUUUAAAAUCGUUUGUGUUUUCUAGAUGCAGCAGUGAUGCUGUACUAGAAACGGAAGGUCCUUGAUCGAUGUGAAUUUGUCCUGUCUAUGUCACGUUACGAAUUGCAAAUGGACAGAAAGAGAAACGUUUAUAACAGAAACUGUUAAUAUUUGAGUCGGAAACAGGCUGCAUCUCGCUAGAAGACAAUUUUUGAGCAAAUGCCGUUCUCGCAAUACUCUAAAAACGCGGUGUUCCUUCCCAUUUUUCUCCUACGUCGCUUGUACUAUAUCUUAUAUGUACGUAAGAAGCAUAUUAAUCAAAUUCUUCAAAAUCCUUGGUGUGCAAUUUGGCGACUGGAGUUCGUCUAUAUUUAUAGGUCGUAUAGCGUGUGUCUUUGGCGGAACUUAGAGCAGUGACCCCUCACGCUUCUCAAUAAACCGCUUGGCCGUUCAAGUUAUUACGUCAAGACAUGCAGUCGUCCCUCGAGGCGCACGUAAAUCGAAGCUAUAACCAAUAGCAAAUAAUCGGCUGAUGAGCUAUACAACAGACGUUUUCACGAGGCUUCCGUUCCAGCCGCAACGUAUGUAGGACCAAACUCGCAACUAGGGAAUCUCUGCUGAGGUCACCAAUCCAAAUUCAUACUGUGUAAACUGUUGCUGUCAUCCAACCGUGCAGUCCACCAAAAAAGGCCACCGGCAUCUCGUUCACCUCAAGCGCAAUCAAUCCCGGCAGUCCUUAGUCAUUUCUAGCUGUUGUA